UACGUAGGUGGCAAGCGUUGUCCGGAAUUAUUGGGCGUAAAGCGCGCGCAGGUGGUUUCUUAAGUCUGAUGUGAAAGCCCACGGCUCAACCGUGGAGGGUCAUUGGAAACUGGGGAACUUGAGUGCAGGAGAGAAGAGUGGAAUUCCACGUGUAGCGGUGAAAUGCGUAGAGAUGUGGAGGAACACCAGUGGCGAAGGCGGCCGGCUGGACACAUAUUGACGCUGAGGCGCGAAAGCAUGGGGAGCAAACAGG
rnacentral:rRNA from 1 species